UACGUAGGGUGCAAGCGUUAUCCGGAAUUAUUGGGCGUAAAGAGCUCGUAGGCGGUUUGUCGCGUCUGCUGUGAAAACUGGAGGCUGAACCUCCAGCCUGCAGUGGGUACGGGCAGACUAGAGUGCGGUAGGGGAGAUUGGAAUUCCUGGUGUAGCGGUGGAAUGCGCAGAUAUCAGGAGGAACACCGAUGGCGAAGGCAGAUCUCUGGGCCGUAACUGACGCUGAGGAGCGAAAGUGUGGGGAGCGAACAGG
rnacentral:rRNA from 1 species